rnacentral:rRNA from 1 species
CAUGCAGUGGAGCGACGAACCAGGGCUUGCCCUGGGGCAAAGCCGCGAACGGGUGAGUAACACGUGGGUGACCUGCCCCGAUGAUCGGGACAACCCGAGGAAACUCGGGCUAAUACCGAAUGUGCUCGCGACCUUACGGGGUCACGAGGAAAGGAAGCUUCGGCCUCCGCAUCGGGAUGGGCCCGCGGCCCAUUAGCUUGUUGGUGAGGUAACGGCUCACCAAGGCUGCGAUGGGUAGCUGGUCUGAGAGGACGAUCAGCCACACUGGGACUGAGACACGGCCCAGACUCCUACGGGAGGCAGCAGUGGGGAAUCUUGCGCAAUGCGCGAAAGCGUGACGCAGCAACGCCGCGUGGGGGAAGACGGCCUUCGGGUUGUAAACCCCUUUCAGUUGGGACGAAGCUUACGUCGGUGAAUAGCCGACUGGAGUGACGGUACCUUCAGAAGAAGCCCCGGCUAACUACGUGCCAGCAGCCGCGGUAAUACGUAGGGGGCAAGCGUUGUCCGGAAUCAUUGGGCGUAAAGCGCGUGUAGGCGGNUCGGUAAGUCCGCUGUGAAAGUCCANGGCUCAACCCUGGAAUGCCGGUGGAUACUGUCGGGCUAGAGUCCGGAAGAGGCGAGUGGAAUUCCUGGUGUAGCGGUGAAAUGCGCAGAUAUCAGGAGGA